GUUUUUAAGAUUUCAUUUGAACUCUGAUACAGGUUGCCGAGCUGGUAGCCACUGAGUUCUUCGAGCAGGGGGAUAAGGAGAGGCGGGAGCUGAACGUUGAACCCAUCGACCUGAUGAAUCGGGAGAAAAGAGAUAAGAUUCCCAGCAUGCAGGUGUCCUUCAUUGAUGCCAUCUGCACUCAGUUAUAUGAGACCUUGUCUGGCAUGUCGGAGUACUGCUCCCCGUUGUUGGAAGGAUGUCAGAAGAACAGGCAGCGUUGGAAGUGUUUGGCCGAGGAGUGUGAGAAGGGGCUGGGUAACGGCUUCAUGUGAUCCUAACACGAGUUUGACUUCAAACCAACAAAAUAAUGUCCAUUGUUUUCCAUGUCCAACCUGGUCUCACAACAUUUCAUGACAUUUGCAUGAUAUCUAAACGGACAAAUAUGAGUCUUUGUGUGAAAAAAGGUUCAGUUGCCAACUUUUACCAAGAGUUUUUCUAAAUUAAGAAUAAUUCCAGUUACAUACAACUUUGAUCUUCCUUUCAUAGGUUUGCCCACCCUUCCUAUUUGUGAUGAUAAGGUUGUACUCACUAAACCUUACAAUAAGACUAAGAGCCAGGAACAGCCAAGCUUUGAGUUGAAUGCUAACACAAGCAUGCUAGCAGAAGCACAAUGCUUUCAUGCUGACGUUUAGUGCAUAGUGUUGCUGUAAUGUUUAAUGUUUCCUUAUUAACAGCUAAUAAACAGCUGAUUAGCACUAAAGCUAAUUACGAUGGGAAAGUCAUUCGUUUCCGAGCCUCUAGUCAUUAGCUAAAGUAUUGCUUCAGGAAGCGGAUCACCAAACUCAUUAGAAUUAGUGCUCUUUGAACAAUAAAUGUCUGUAGAUACUGAGAUACUAAGUACUAAGGUUUUAAGGUUUUAAUGGUUUUGCAUAAUUUAAUAAAACACAAACAUCCUAGAAAACAACAGACCAACAGUGCAGGAAGAGGCAAAAAAAAAAGUGGGCUUAUUUAAAGCCUCUACCUAAAUAA